rnacentral:rRNA from 1 species
GCCAGCCCGCUCAGAACUUCAAGGAAUUGACGGGGCCGCACAAGCGGUGGAGUAUGUGGUUUAAUUCGAUGCAACGCGAAGAACCUUACCUGGUCUUGACAUCCCGGAGACCCUUAGGAAACUAGGGGGUGCUUCCAUCUGGAAGAAUCUGGAGACAGGUGCUGCAUGGCUGUCGUCAGCUCGUGUCGUGAGAUGUUGGGUUAAGUCCCGCAACGAGCGCAACCCUUGCCUUUAGUUGCCAGCAGUUCGGCUGGGCACUCUAAAGGGACUGCCGGUGUUAAACCGGAGGAAGGUGGGGAUGACGUCAAGUCCUCAUGGCCUUUAUGACCAGGGCUACACACGUACUACAAUGGCCGAUACAAAGGGCAGCGACACUGCGAGGUGAAGCCAAUCCCGUAAAAUCGGUCUCAGUCCGGAUUGGAGUCUGCAACUCGACUCCAUGAAGUUGGAAUCGCUAGUAAUCGUGGAUCAGCAUGCCACGGUGAAUACGUUCCCGGGCCUU